AACAAUUCGUCUAACACACAGGCAUGUUGUGAUCGGAUGAAAUUUGUUUUUAAAUAAUAGGAUUUUGAAAUCAGUUUUAACUUCAAGAGAUCAAUCUUUCUCCCAACUGUGUUCAUUUAAAAUAGAGAGUAUGGACCACACCAUACCACAGGAACACUCAAUGUCACAAGAAGUCAAGACAUGCGAGAUCUGUGCCGCGGCCCAGCUCCAGAUAUUUUGCAACAACUGUCAAAUCAGCUUGUGUGGUAAGUGUGACACAGAGCACAGAAAAGGAGGGCUGUGUGGUUUACAUGACAAAGUGCUGUUCCCGGACCUAAACAAACUGCUGUUUCCUAGCUGUACCAUCCAUCAAGAUCAGACCUGUCAUUCCUACUGUAAACAAUGCGACAUUCCCGUCUGCAAUAAAUGCAAGACCCAGACUCACCAUGAUCACCAUGAGCUGAUCGAGAUGGCUCACUUUGUCAGUACAAAACUCAAUGAGAUUAAGGCCGAGAUAGAAGAGCUGCUGAAAAAAGUCAUCCCCAGGUGUAGACAAACUAAAGCAGACACUGCCUCCAAACUCUCCAUGACUGAAGUCAAAUACGACCAGAUGAUCCAUGAAUUGGAGAUUCAUCGGAAAAACUGGCAUCAGGAAGUAGACGGUAUAUUCAACAGGGUCAGGAAGAAAAUUCACAGCGAGAAGGAGAAAAGCCUCAGAGAACUACAAAACCAUCAGUCUGAUCUUGCCCAGAUUUACAAUGUUAUGUUCCAAACAGUUCAAGAGGACAGGAACAUAUUGAUGUCAAAGGAGGCUGCCAUAAUAGCUGCCCACAAGUCUAGAUUGAUGGACUGCUCACAACUUAAGCCUGGUCCUGACAUCAAAAUUCCGAUACUGAAAACAAAGAUAAACAAAGGGAGGGAACUCUCUUUAGAGCUGGAAAACAUUGAAGCUUCCCUAACUCAGAAUUCAAUUGUUAGAAACAUGAUGGCAAGCAUCUCAAAUGAAACAAAUUUACCAAACGAUUGUACCAGUAUCACCAAUUCAAUACCAAAUGAAAAUGUGCCAUCAAUACCAUUAUGUGCCCUUUCUGCACCAAAUGGAAGAUCAGUAUCAAAAUCUUAUAGUAAGGUAGCAGAUAGCAUUGCUAAGGCAACUAAAAAAUUGUUGCUGAUUAAACAAGGUGAUAAAUGUCUUCAAAGAAAAAUCAAACAGGAAUCUACAUUUACAUGUCCUAGUUCUCUAGGUCCAUCACAAGUGAUGUCAAGAACUCUAGAUCUGCACCCCACAGAGAACAUGGCUUUUUCGGCUGUGAAAACGAUGGAGGUCAGUGUGAUAAAAAAUACUACAAGAGAUAGGUCAAAGUCUUUGGACCAAUCUAAACAAAAUCCAGUAGAAGAGUUAACAAAGACAAUACUAGUAGACCACCGCACUAAAGCAGAACCGAAUUUGUUGAUAGAAAGAAAUUCUGCCAUUUUUAUGACAAAUGGGCAGCUGUUGAAAAAAGCUAGAGUGAUAUCUAGUUUUUCCACAGGACUAGAGAAUCUGACUGCAGUAGCUUGCUACAGGAGCCGAGAGGCGUGGAUUUGCGGAGAAACCAAGGUCAUAAAGCGACUCGACAUCCAAGGCUUCCAGAAGAAUGCACUGCUUGCCACAUGUAAAUAUUUCCCAGGAGACAUUGCAGUGACGAGAGAUGGUGAACUGAUCUACAGCAAUGUCAAUGCUAGGACAGUUACUGUAGUCAGGGAGGAGAAAACAGAAAUACUGAUACAGGUCACAAAAGGCUGGCACCCUUGUAAACUCUGUUGUACAUCAUCUGGAGAUAUUCUGGUCGCGAUGUUCACGUCUGACGACAAGAAUCACAAAAUUGUUCGAUACCACGAGGGAAAAAUUAUCCAAGAGAUUGAAAAAGACGUCAACUAUGAGAAUCCCCUGUUCCAAGAAGGGAGACAUCCAGUAUACGUCGCUGAAAAUACAAAUGGGGAUAUUUGUGCAGCAGAUCUGAAUGCAGAGAUGGUGGUUGUGGUUGACAAUAGAGGAAAGGAAAAGUUUCGAUACGACGGAACAGCUGCAAAGAGAGCCAAGCCUUUCGUACCUGGACCAAUCGUGACAGACUCCUCAGGACACAUCAUUGUAACGGAUCAGAUUAACGACUGCCUCCAUAUCUUGGACAAGAAUGGACAGUUCCACGGCUGUAUUGACAAUUGCGGGCUAGACCAGCCCACAGGGCUCAGUGUGGACAAGGAGGGAAGGUUAUGAGUCGGGUCAUACAAUACUGGAAAUGUGAAGGUCAUUGAAUACCUGAAGCCAAGAAAAAGUGGGCCUUCACAGAAACAAUGUCUUAAUGACAAAAACUGAGGCAACCUUGAUCAUUAAUGAGAAUUUGUGUCAUUGAUGUUACAUAUGGAUGGAAAAAAAAGAACACUUUUUUAUACAGUACUAUAUUCUAAAUCAUUACUGGUAAAACGGCAAUUUUAAAUUUGUGCAUAUGGCUUAAUUCAUUUCUCUAAUAAACACAUGUUAUC
rnacentral:misc_RNA from 1 species